AUCCCAUGUAGACGACAUGGUUGAUAGGCCAGAUGUGGAAGAGCUGUGAGGCUUGGAGCUGACUGGUACUAAUAGAUCGAGGGCUUUACUUA
rnacentral:rRNA from 1 species